rnacentral:rRNA from 2 species
CAGUCUGCGUGGAGCCGACCUUGAAAUACCACCCUUUAAUGUUUGAUGUUCUAACGUGGACCCGUAAUCCGGGUUGCGGACAGUGUCUGGUGGGUAGUUUGACUGGGGCGGUCUCCUCCUAAAGAGUAACGGAGGAGCACGAAGGUUGGCUAAUCCUGGUCGGACAUCAGGAGGUUAGUGCAAUGGCAUAAGCCAGCUUGACUGCGAGCGUGACGGCGCGAGCAGGUGCGAAAGCAGGUCAUAGUGAUCCGGUGGUUCUGAAUGGAAGGGCCAUCGCUCAACGGAUAAAAGGUACUCCGGGGAUAACAGGCUGAUACCGCCCAAGAGUUCAUAUCGACGGCGGUGUUUGGCACCUCGAUGUCGGCUCAUCACAUCCUGGGGCUGAAGUAGGUCCCAAGGGUAUGGCUGUUCGCCAUUUAAAGUGGUACGCGAGCUGGGUUUAGAACGUCGUGAGACAGUUCGGUCCCUAUCUGCCGUGGGCGCUGGAGAACUGAGGGGGGCUGCUCCUAGUACGAGAGGACCGGAGUGGACGCAUCACUGGUGUUCGGGUUGUCAUGCCAAUGGCACUGCCCGGUAGCUAAAUGCGGAAGAGAUAAGUGCUGAAAGCAUCUAAGCACGAAACUUGCCCCGA